ACGGAGGGUGCAAGCGUUAAUCGGAAUUACUGGGCGUAAAGCGUGCGUAGGUGGUUGUUUAAGUCUGUUGUGAAAGCCCUGGGCUCAACCUGGGAACUGCAGUGGAAACUGGAUGACUAGAGUGUGGUAGAGGGUAGCGGAAUUCCCGGUGUAGCAGUGAAAUGCGUAGAGAUCGGGAGGAACAUCCAUGGCGAAGGCAGCUACCUGGACCAACACUGACACUGAGGCACGAAAGCGUGGGGAGCAAACAGG
rnacentral:rRNA from 1 species